rnacentral:rRNA from 1 species
GAUGAACGCUGGCGGCGUGCUUAACACAUGCAAGUCGAACGGAAAGGCCUCUGCUUGCAGGGGUACUCGAGUGGCGAACGGGUGAGUAACACGUGGGUGAUCUGCCCUGCACUUCGGGAUAAGCCUGGGAAACUGGGUCUAAUACCGGAUAGGACAAUGGUUUGGAUGCUGUUAUGGAAAGUUUUUCGGUGUGGGAUGAGCUCGCGGCCUAUCAGCUUGUUGGUGGGGUAAUGGCCUACCAAGGAGUCGACGGGUAGCCGGCCUGGGAGGGUGGACGGCCACAUUGGGACUGAGAUACGGCCCAGACUGCGACAGGGGGCAGCAGUGGGGAAUAUUGCACAAUGGGCGCAAGCCUGAUGCAGCGACGCCGCGUGGGGGAUGACGGCCUUCGGGUUGUAAACUCCUUUCGCUAGGGACGAAGCGUUUUUGUGACGGUACCUGGAGAAGAAGCACCGGCUAACUACGUG